CCCGGUAAACGGCGGCCGUAACUAUAACGGUCCUAAGGUAGCGAAAUUCCUUGUCGGGUAAGUUCCGACCUGCACGAAUGGCGUAAUGAUGGCCAGGCUGUCUCCACCCGAGACUCAGUGAAAUUGAACUCGCUGUGAAGAUGCAGUGUACCCGCGGCAAGACGGAAAGACCCCGUGAACCUUUACUAUAGCUUGACACUGAACAUUGAGCCUUGAUGUGUAGGAUAGGUGGGAGGCUUUGAAGUGUGGACGCCAGUCUGCAUGGAGCCGACCUUGAAAUACCACCCUUUAAUGUUUGAUGUUCUAACGUGGGCCCCUUACCGGGGUUGCGGACAGUGUCUGGUGGGUAGUUUGACUGGGGCGGUCUCCUCCUAAAGAGUAACGGAGGAGCACGAAGGUUGGCUAAUCCUGGUCGGACAUCAGGAGGUUAGUGCAAUGGCAUAAGCCAGCUUGACUGCGAGCGUGACGGCGCGAGCAGGUGCGAAAGCAGGUCAUAGUGAUCCGGUGGUUCUGAAUGGAAGGGCCAUCGCUCAACGGAUAAAAGGUACUCCGGGGAUAACAGGCUGAUACCGCCCAAGAGUUCAUAUCGACGGCGGUGUUUGGCACCUCGAUGUCGGCUCAUC
rnacentral:rRNA from 1 species